rnacentral:rRNA from 1 species
UACAGAGGUCUCAAGCGUUGUUCGGAAUCACUGGGCGUAAAGCGUGCGUAGGCGGCACGUAAAGUCUGGUGUUAAAGGCAGAGGCUCAACUUCUGUACGGCACUGGAUACUUGCGAGCUAGAAUGCGGUAGAGGUAAAGGGAAUUCCUGGUGUAGCGGUGAAAUGCUUAGAUAUCAGGAGGAACAUCGGUGGCGUAAGCGCUUUACUGGGCCGUAAUUGACGCUGAGGAACGAAAGCCAGGGUAGCAAAUGGG